rnacentral:ncRNA from 1 species
GGAGAUGCAGAAAUGAAAGACUGUGAUGACAGGGGCGGUACACAUGUCAAACCAUAAUAACGUAGGUGUCCUAAGGUGAGCUCAGGGAGGACAGAAACCUCCCGUGGAGCAGAAGGACAAAAGCUCCCUUGAUCUUGAUUUUCAUUAUCAAUACAGACCGUGAAAGCGGGGCCUCACAAUCCUUCUGACCUUUGGGGUUUUAAGCAGGAGAUGUCAGAAAAGUUACCCCAGGGAUAAUGGCUUGUGGCAGCCAAGUGUUCAUAGAAACGUUGCUUUUUGAUCCUUUGAUGUUGGCUCUUCCUAUCAUUGUGAAGCAGAAUUCACCAAAUGUUGGAGUGUUCACCCACUAAUAGGGAACAUGAGCUGGGAUUAGGCCAUCGUGAGACAGGUUAAUUUUACUGGACUGAUGAUAGGUUGUCGCCACAGUAAUCCUGCCCAGUACGAGAGGAACCACAGGUUCAGACAUUUGGUGUAUGUGCUUGGCUGAGGAGCCAAUGGGGUGAAGAUAUCAUCUGUGGGAUUAUGACUGAAUGCCUCUAAGUCAGAGGCCACCAUGAUGCUGGUCAACUCUUCUCUGUGGCUGAGUUUGUCUCCAUUUUAUAUACUCUAUUACAAAUAAGUCAAUUCAUCAUACUGAUUAUAAGCCAAUCAUUACAUCACUAGGGAACUGUUAUUUGUUGUAGGAUUAAAUCAAUCAUACUGAACUAGAGAAUCACCAUGUUAAGCUAGCUAACCCUUGUCUUAUCAAUUC